UGAUACUAGAGUCGCAUGAUUUGUAUUAAAGAUUACGGUAUAAGAUGGGCAUGCGUCCUAUUAGCUAGAUGGUAAGGUAACGGCUUACCAUGGCUACGAUAGGUAGGGGGCCUGAGAGGGUGAUCCCCCACACUGGUACUGAGACACGGACCAGACUCCUACGGGAGGCAGCAGUGAGGAAUAUUGGUCAAUGGAGGCAACUCUGAACCAGCCAUGCCGCGUGCAGGAAGACGGCCUAUGGGUUGUAAACGGCUCNUUAUUUGGGNAUAAACUCCUCUANGUGUAGAGG
rnacentral:rRNA from 1 species